rnacentral:rRNA from 1 species
CGAAGAACCUUACCAGGCCUUGACAUCCUCGGAACUUUCCAGAAAUGGAUUGUGCCUCGGGAACCGAGAGACAGGUGCUGCAUGGCUGUCGUCAGCUCGUGUCGUGAGAUGUUGGGUUAAGUCCCGCAACGAGCGCAACCCUCGCCAUUAGUUGCCAUCAUUAAGUUGGGCACUCUAGUGGGACUGCCGGUGAUAAGCCGGAGGAAGGUGGGGGAUGACGUCAAGUCAUCAUGGCCCUUACGGGCUGGGCUACACACGUGCUACAAUGGCGGUGACAGUGGGCAGCAACUCAGCAAUGGGGAGCUAAUCUCAAAAAGACCGUCUCAGUUCGGAUUGGGGUCUGCAACUCGACCCCAUGAAGUCGGAAUCGCUAGUAAUCGCGGAUCAGCACGCCGCGGUGAAUACGUUCCCGGGCCUU